rnacentral:rRNA from 1 species
CGGGGAAUAUUGGGCAAUGGGGGCAACCCUGACCCAGCGACGCCGCGUGGGGGAAGACGGCCUUCGGGUUGUAACCUCUUUUGUACGGGAAGAAGGAAGUGACGGUACUGUACGAAUAAGUCCCGGCUAACUACGUGCCAGCAGCCGCGGUAAUACGUAGGGGACGAGCGUUGUCCGGAAUUACUGGGCGUAAAGGGCGCGCAGGCUGUGCUGCAAGUCAGCUGUUAAAUGUCUGGGCUUAACCCGGGCAUGCGGUUGAGACUGCGGUGCUGGAGUGCUGUAGAGGCAAGUGGAAUUCCCAGUGUAGCGGUGAAAUGCGUAGAUAUUGGGAAGAACACCGGCGGCGAAGGCGACUUGCUGGGCAGCAACUGACGCUGAGGCGCGAAAGCCAGGGGAGCAAACGG